rnacentral:RNase_P_RNA from 1 species
UUGGGGAGGGAGGAAAGUCCGGGCUCCACAGGACAGAGUGCCAGGUAACGCCUGGGAGGCGCAAGCCUACGGAAAGUGCCGCAGAGAGUAGACCGCCUAAAUCAUUCCUUGGAAUGGUCGGUAAGGGUGAAAGGGUGCGGUAAGAGCGCACCGCAUCGCUGGUAACAGCGCAUGGCAGGGUAAACCCCACUCGGAGCAAGACCAAAUAGGGAUUCUUUGGCGUGGUCCGCGCCGAAUCCGGGUAGGUUGCUUGAGGUGUAUGGUGACAUGCAUCCCAGAUGAAUGGCUGUCAAGGUUUUCAGGAACCUCACAGAACCCGGCUUACAGGCCAUCUUG